UGAUGAAAAGUUCAUGAAUUAAUUGGGUGAGAACUACAACGAACGGAGCCACUCUACGUUCUUCAAAGGAGAGACAAACAUUAACAAAAGAAAAAAGAAACGAAAACCGAACAAGUGUGAAGCACACACCCAACUGCGAGCUCGACAACUUCCCUGCAACUGAGACGCCGAGGGGCUAAAGCUCCCUUCGUUGCAAACAAGAAAUUAAAACAAACCACUAAAAAAGUUGUCCAAGAAGAGGCUCCAAAGUUCCCUAAAACCCAAAAAGUUCAAGAACUAAAUGCGAAAACGCUUCAUUUGUUCAUGCCGGUGGCGUUCUUGACUGCAUCGGCAGCUCCCUGUGCCUUGGCCUGCAUGUUCUGGCCAGCAUCCUGCAUUGUUUCCUUGGCAGACUGGGCGGCAUUGUUAGCCUUGUCCAUCAUUCCACUGGCCUUCUCCUGUCAAAUCCCAAAUCAUCCAAUACAACACAAACACCUCAAUCUCAAUGCACAAUCAAUAUUAAAGCAAAAGAAAACGUAAAGAUGUUAUUGACGCUCCAAAAUAGUCGAUCAUGCACUAGAAUCAUAAGAACAAAGAAGAAACGAGUGCAGUAUACAUGACUAUUUUAAAACUCUCGGAACAUUUCAAAACAAAAAAUGGAGAUGAGUGAGGGUUACCUGAGCUUGGCCCUUGGCCUCUCCAGCUUGGUAGCUCAUCUUCUGGGAGUUGUCAGCCAUUUUCUUCUUGUUGGAAAUUGGAGAAAAAGAGCACUUUGAAAUCGAUUGAAGUUCUUAGAGAUGGUAGUUGAUUUGCUUGAUGAUGAAAUACUCACAGUCGGAUAGGUUUAUAUAGGGUUUUGGACCACCUGAAUGCUCGACACGUGUGAUGCCACGCGUAAGUCACUCGCGGACUUCCUCUGAGUUAUUGUUCUGGGGACCAACCACGUGUCGCGUUGUUACUUGGGGUGGGCCUUUUGACCAGGAAGCUGUUUUUUUCCGGUGGUAGUUGCUAACUUCCUGUUCUUAGGGCUUUGACAGUUUCAUCCCGAAGGGAUCAAUAUACCACUAUACAUAUAUAUAUAUAUAUAUAUAUAUUUUUUUUUUUUUUCAACAAAGAAAAUAGUGGUAUUGAUAUAUUAUUUUGAUAAUAAUUUCAUCAAUGGGAGAUUGAAAAACCAGACUUCAUUUUAUCAACACACCUCUUUUAUUACAAAAAUUCACCAUUAUCUCUUAGUACAUUACUUGUGUAAUUGUCACAUGAUGCAUAAUUGUCAAUAAAAUCGCGUCACAACCCAUCAAAUAUUAAUACUUAUAGGGUGCGUUUGUUGCACCGGACUAUCUCGGACUGAACUAGAUUCAAGGACUAAGCUGGACUGGCUUAGACUAGACUAAGCUGGACUAACUUAGUGAAGCGUUUAGUGCAGUGUCGAAUUAAGAAGCAGGAUAAUGAAAAUAGUACUAUCACCAGUUUGGUGUUUGCUCGGACUGAGACUAAAUUAUUAUUCUAAUUUAAUUUCUUUUUAUUUAAAGAUAUUAUCAAAAUUAAUAAUAUUAGAUGAGAGUAUGACUCAAUAAAAAAUUAAAAAAAACCAAAUUUCUUGCCAACGAAAGAAACAUACAUGAUUCAAAAGUAGUAUUGCUCCAAACAUCAAUAUAACAAAGGUGUUUUCCUAACAAUUGACGGGUUUUAGAAUGCUUUUCUUAAUUAUUCAGCUUUGGGUUGAUUGCAUUUAAUCCCAAUACCACAAUGAUGUGUGAGGCGCAUUGGCAAAUGGAUAGCCGAGCCUUGAUCAUUGCUACAUUUGGAUUUGAGCACGUAAAUUGCUUGCUCCAACUAGUUUGAAAACCAAUAACAAUAUGCAAAAGGAAGAGAUCAUGAAUAUACCUCGAGCAAAGUACACAACGUUUGGAGCAAAGGAUUGUCAAAAGUGAAGCAACAAGUUUUAGCUGAGGGAACGUAAAUUUAAAUGUUAUGAUACAGACAAAAUUUUGUUAUUCUAACUAAUUUACUGACUAGACUAAAACACAAGUUUGUUUAGGCUACACGAAUACAAUAGUACUCCUGCACUACAGUUCCUCUGAGUCAACUCCUUACAUGAACAUACAGUUACAAACAAUCAAAAUCAAUUGAAUCAAUACCAUGCCUUUUGUUGCUCUAGCAAGCAAGUUGGUGCCUGCACAUGUAACAACUUGCUGCAUCAAAACUGCCAUAUAUGACUCUACUACGAUGGCUGAAUCUGAUCUCACCGAAAGCAGACCAAAGAUGUAAGCAAGAAAGCAGACCAAAGAUGUAAGCAAGCCGCACCUUAUGGCAUCCAUCAAUUGCAGGGUAUACAAUAUAUGAAACAGCUUUGAUGGUUUCCACAGCAUAGCCAACUAUUUCACUUUUAAAUUCCGAAAUUUCACAAGUAAUAUCAUCAUUGGUCCAAACCUCAGAAACAAGGACAGAACUCAAAUAACACAAAAAGACCUGCAAGGAAACAAUAGAUCACUAUCACUCAAUGGGGGAAAAAGCCAUCUCUAUGUUAUAGAAUUCAGAGAUGUAAGCCUACAAAGCUGCCUACCUGUGAACGGUUCAAGCUGUAUUCAUCAACUAAUGUUAAAACAUCCUUCAAAAUGUGCUUCUUCUCUAACUUGACUGAAUCAAUCAAGGGACGCACAACACUCUUAAUAUAAUUAAAGUCCUGAGACAAAAAGCGUACUGUGUCAACACCAGGGAUUAUUUUCUCUAAUGAUGUACAACGAUCUGCAACACGCUUUUGGUCUUCUAAUUUUAAUUUCCAUUCCCUCCAAAAGGUAGACUGCACCUUGUCAAAUUUGCCUAUUUCACCUGAAUCCAAUAAAACAACAUACAAAACCAUGAACUCCUUAUCAUUGUAAAAAUGUACAUGCAUCAAUAAUAUUACUCUAUUUUCACAUUUCCACUGCUUGGAGCUUUAACAUGAUAGCAUAGCAAAUUGUAAAUAAGUGUAGCAGAUUACCUAUGUGUUUUUCUUUAAACUUCCUUAGUAGAAGCUCCCUCCUUUGUGUAGGAUCUUCACACUCAAAUGCUGAACUAUACAACAAGCUAUAUGUCAUCCCCACAUUCAUGAUGCUAGAAACUUCUUGGUAAUCCUUCCUUGUUCUAAGCUGCUCAUCUAUCACUUCAACCCCACUCACAGCAUCUAACAUAUUCAACAGAAAUGAGCAACCCAUUAUGUCUUCCUCUUUGGUAACAGGUGGUUCAAUUAUUGAUUUUGCCAGAGACGCAAUCACAUUGUCGGUAGGAGCAAAACCAUUUCUCGCCAACCAGGACAGAAUGGUCACUAGAGCCUGUGUUCUUACACUGACAUAUUGCUUUCCAGGAAUCAAGUUACCACUUGACUUCUUACUGUGUUCUCUAUUCCUACUUAGCUCAAGCAACCAUGGAAGUUGCAGGGCAGAAAAUGUCAAAAAAUUUCCAUUUUCUCUCAAAAUAGAUUCCCAGUUCGUAUAAAUACGAUUACAAAUAAAGUACCAAUUCGCAAAUCACAAACUUUCGCAUAUAUAAGAAAAUAUCAGCAAAUGGUCAGACUUACAUAGUCGUUUAGCUGGCGAGCAGCAGAUUCAACUUCUUGAACACUUGACAUAGCCACAAACCCAAAUCCUCUACUUCUUGCAAUCGUCUUAUCAUAUAUCACCUGCUAAAAACCCUCCAAAUUUAACCCACAAAACACUAAACCAGCAACAACCGAUUUCACUUUUCACCUAAAUUUCAAGUAAAAUUUACAAAAUUUCGAGUGAAAACAAGGAAUUACCUUGACCAUCUGAACAUUUCCAACGCUCUUGAAGAUACCAGCAAGCUGAGCGCUAUCGACGCUGAAGGGAAGGUUACCCACGAAGAGUUUGAGGUCAGAGGAGGCGUCUCCGUCAUCGCUGAGAACCUCCUCAUCCUGCUCGAACUCGGAUGAGACGGCGAAGUCGUGAAGGAGAUGGGAGAUGGCAAAGGUGCGAAGGAGAAGAAGACGGAUGGAUCAGCUGCGAGGGAGGACGGGACUAGGAGUCCACUCGAAAUCGAGGGCUCUCGCUAAGAACGGUUAGCGAGGCGUUCAGUCGGGGCGAGUCCCUUUAGUCUCAUUAACGCUUGUCCGUGUAAAUAACAAACACCAGACUAGACUAUCAUUUAGUCUAGUCCAGUCCAAGAAAUGCUAGUGAAGGCAAACAAACAUACCCAUAAUUUCUAAUGUCCUGAGUUUCCAAUUCAUAGAAACACAAGCUAAGGUUCUCUAAAACUUAAACGAGAACGUUUCAAUUUUCAAACAAAUACAUGAAUGUGUAAUCAAAACACGAAUUACAUAAAGCACAUAACUCAAUAUGAAUGAAACAGAAUACAACACUUAUCACCCUUUCGUCGCUUGAUUGCCGUUAAAUAUAACCGUUAAAUAGGCAAAUCAGUUGCUCAAACCCGCACUGCACUAUCAAUUCCUUCAUUCAUUUUUCUUGUAUUUAACUGUAGAAGUUUUGAACCAAACCUCCAUGGACAUGUACAGAAGCUUCUAGGGUUUUGUAUCUUCACUUCAUUAUUAUUUCUUUUUGUGGGUUUUCGUUUCUUCCUCCUCCAUCUUUUGUCUGUUCACUGUUUUGCCCUUGGUGUUUUAUUUAAUUUUUAAUUCUUUGUCAUCUUUUUGUCUAUGUCAUUUAUCUAUGUUAUAGUGCCUAUAUACAAUGAUCUUAUCCACUUCUAUAUUGGAAAAUUUGGCCAUUUAUAUUUUUCAUUUUAUGAACUGACAUAGCUUGUAUUGUUAAGGAUCCAAAAUUGACUAUUAUAAGCAAAAUACCACUGCCUUUUAGCAACACUUUAAUUAUUUUAAUUAUCUUAAUAUCAUGAAAUAAUAUAAAAGUAAGGAUUAAAAUAAAAGUUAAAGAUGAAGAUAUAAUUUUAAAAAACCAUCACAUAAUGAUGAAAAGUUCAUGAAUUAACUGGGUGAGAACUACAACGAACGGAGCCACUCUACGUUCUUCAAAGGAGAGGCAAACAUUAACAAAAGAAAAAAGAAACGAAAACCGAACAAGUGCGAAGCACACACCCAACUGAGAGCUCGACAACUUCCAAGCAACUGAGACGCCGAGGGGCUAAAGCUCCCUUUGUUGCAAACAAGAAAUUAAAACAAAUCACUAAAAAAGCUGUCUAAGGAGAGGCUCCAAAGUUCCCUAAAACCCAAAAAGUUCAAGAACUAAAUGCGAAAACACUUCAUUUGUUCAUGCCGGUGGCGUUCUUGACUGCAUCGGCAGCUCCCUGUGCCUUGGCCUGCAUGUUCUGGCCAGCAUCCUGCAUUGUUUCCUUGGCAGAUUGGGCGGCAUUGUUAGCCUUGUCCAUCAUUCCACUGGCCUUCUCCUGUCAAAUCCCAAAUCAUCCAAUACAACACACACACCUCAAUCUCAAUGCACAAUCAAUAUUAAAGCAAAAGAAAGCAUAACGAAAAACUGUUAUUGACGCUCCAAAAUAGUCGAUCAUGCACUAGAAUCAUAAGAACAAAGAAAAAACGAGUGCAAUAUACAUGACUAUUUUAAAACGCUCGGAACAUUUCAAAACGAAAAAUGGACAUGAGUGAGGGUUACCUGAGCUUGGCCCUUGGCCUCUCCAGCUUGGUAGCUCAUCUUCUGGGAGUUGUCAGCCAUUUUCUUCUAGUUGGAAAUUGGAGAAAAAGAACACUUUGAAAUCGAUUGAAGUUCUUAAAGAUGGUAGUUGAUUCGCUUGAUGAUGAAAUACUCGCGGUCGGAUAUGUUUAUAUAGGGUUUUGGACCACCUGAAUGCUCGACACGUGUGAUGCCACGCGUAAGUCACUCGCGGACUUCCUCUGAGUCAUUGUUUUGGGGACCAACCACGUGUCGCAUUAUUACUGAGGGUGGGCCUUUUGACCAGGAAGCUGUUUAUCUCCAGUGGUAGUUGCUAACUUCCUGUUCUUAAGGCUUUGACAGUUUCAUCCCAAAGGGAUCAAUAUACCACUAUAUAUAUAUUUUUUUCAAAAAAGAAAAUAGUGGUAUUGAUAUAUUAUUUUGAUAAUAAUUUCAUCAAUGGGAGAUUGAAAAACCAGACCUCAGUUUAUCAACACACCUCUUUCAUUCCAAAAAUUCAGCAUUGUCUCUUAGUACAUCACUCGUGUAAUUGUCAUGUGAUGCAUAAUUAUCAAUAAAAUCACGUCAAAACCCAUCAAAUAUUAAUACUUAUAGUUUCAAAUUGUCCUGAGUUUCCAAUUCAUAGAAACACAAGCUAAGGCUCUCUAAAACUUAAAUGAGAACAUUUCAAUUUUCAAACAAAUACAUGAAUGUCUAAUCAAAACACGAAUUACAUAAAAUUAUGUUACACGAAUACAUCUUUAAAAAAAUCCUUCAACAUGAAUGAUCGUGUCACUUCACUUAAGAAUCUAAAGAUGCAAAAAUAUCGCACUCGACCCAUGUAUAGUGGCCCAGUCGGCCCAUCCACCCCCUCAUGAAAUGAAGCUUGAAAAACUUUUGGAAAAUAGAAAAUAAAGGGGAAGGGAGUAAACUUCAAAAAUAUUACGGGAGUCCCUGAUAUUUUCAAAAUUUACACUACAAGCACGUUAAAUUUAUCAAUUUAUAUUCCCGCCACACCCACCAGAAAAAAGCCACCCUAAGGGUCCAGAGGGCCGAAAAUAGCUCGAAAACCAUCUCCAACCGAGGACCAGGCUAAAGAGCUCGUGGAUCCCACUGGACAAAAAAAGGUCAAGGGGCCAACUGGCUGGCCAUUUUCAACCAGCCAGCCAACCCGCUGGCUAGCCCAAUUUCAUUUUUUUUUUCCAUUUGCCCAGUCCACAUUAAGGUUUAGGGCUUAGGUUUUUUUUUGUCCCAGCCCAUUUUUUGUUUUUUUUAUGCCCAGUCCACUUUUUUAUUUUUUUUAUUUGACGUUUUUUUUUUAAUUUCUAAUUUUUUUCCUACAUCAUUUCUCACAUAUUUUUCACAAUUUCAUACUAUCUUAUCUUAUUUCAAUUCUUUACAUUCCAUACUAUAGCCAUUUAGCUCUCGGUUUGAUACGGUUUUUUGUGACAAUGCUAAAACGAACCCUAUAACCUGGGUUGUAGAUGAUAAAAAAUAUAACACUACAUUGUUCAUUAACAUAUUAAUUUCUUAGAGCAUCAAAAGGCUCGUUUGGGUCUCUGACCAGUCUUUGGCGAUGGCCUAAGCCCAAAUCGUAGCCAGACACAAAGCCCUCAAGGCUCAACCCACGGCUGCAGCAGCCUCCUUCUCCCUCUUCAUUCCAUACGUGCAAUCACCUCAGCUCCAAAGUUUUCAACUUUCUGUAUAUUUUUGUUCGUUCUUCUCCGCCCAAAAAACCCUUUUCUUCUUCUUCUGCUUCUGCAUUAGUUUCCAGCAGAUUUACAGAUAAGAAGAGAGGAGUCUGAGGAGUAGGAAAGUCGGGUACUUGAGAUAAUUGGGAACCGGGUUCGUUACAACCCGAAACGAGCACGGCUUUCUAAUCUGCACACUCUGAGUCAAUGAAAAAGAUGGGAACGAAGGACAAGAAGAAGAUCCAUAAGAACAAGAAGGUUGCCCAGCCAACUUUGGAGCUUGUUGCAAAGGGUUUGUCACUUCUCAUAUGAUCAAAAAAGUUAUAUUUUUCUCUUACCGUUUUAGUUUGCUUCUAACUUGGGUUUUUGAAUUUUUUUGUGUUGAAAUUGGAAUUAAGUUUCUGGGUGGUUUGAACCUAAAAACUAAUUGUUGAGGAAAUUUGAUUUAGAUGAUGAAUAAUAUGAUAUAAAAUAGAUGCUAUAUACUUUGGGAAAUUGAAGAACUAUGCAUUUAAAAUGUAGUGGAUGUAUAUAUAAUUGUUCAAUGUUCAUCAUCAUGGAGGCAAAAACCUAUUUGAUAAUUGGAUUUGGCAGUAUUUGGCUCCCUGUAUCUGUAUUGAUACGGCGAAGAGUUUUACCAAGUUGUGAUUUUGUAGUUUUUAUCUGUUUCCAGAUAAAAAAUUAGGAUCUGCAGAGAUUAGAAAGAGAAAAAGGGCAAAGGAAAGCGAUGCUGAUUCUCGAAAGGUUGUUCAUGUCUCUAUUGAAGGUACAUUGGAUUUAUGUUUCUCAUGUGUUAAGUACAUUGUUAGGGGUAUAGAUUUGGAUUGAACUCAAUGUUCUCCGUUUGCUUUUGUUGUUUCAGUAGAUAAUUCAGCCAAACCAGCCAAGGAUAAGAAAAAGGCAAAACUAACGAAUAAAAGGAAAAUAAAGAAUGCGAAGAACUAUGAAGCUAUGGAAGGCAAGAAUGAUCAUCCAAAUACAGACACUGAUGACGAUUUUCAUGAAAUAAAUGGUAAGUUGCUUCUAGUUGGGUAGCAUUAUACUGUAAUAGUUUUCAGGGGAACCACAGUUAUUGUGUAAUUUGUUAACGGUGUCCUUGGGCGGGGGGUGUGAAUGUUGAAAAUUUACAAAUUUCCAAAAUCUUUGCCUGUCUGUGUUUUGUUUUGCUUUAUAUGUAAGUCGGAGUUGUUUUCUAGUUUUCUUUUUCUCUAACCUAAGGUCUCUGCUUCCAAUUUUCUUUCUCAAGCUGUAUGGAAAUGCACGUAUGCUUUUGAAGUGUCGACCAUAGAAUCCUUUCUUGCUUUUAACUUAAUUAAGAUAAUUUUCUUUCUAUUAGAUGAUGGAGUUGCCGAUCAGAGCCCAUUUGAAACUCAGGAAGAGAUUGAAAUUGGUGAAGUGCUCACUGAGGCUGGUAAGGAACCAAAAUUGGAAAUUAUGAAUAAGUGGCAGCUUUUGUUUGAUCUGAGCAGAGUCAUUGGAUGAUAUUUUUAUUGCAAUUACUUAUAAGGUCAAGUGCUCAUUGAGGUUCUCUCUUUAUUGUAGGUAAGUCAAAGAAAGCUAAGAAAAAGAAAAAGAAGGAUCGUAAUUCAUUGGAGUUUGUGAAGUCCCUUGACGAGGAAGUAGCUGGUCAGGAGAAGAGCUCAAAAGGGAUAUCAGGUAUGAUUCUUGAAUUUGAAACAUUGCUUUGUAUCCAAGUUAUCACUAUUUCAUUGCAAUCAGUACUUUUCUACUUUUAGUAAUGAUAAAUUGUCGAUGAAGGUGUACCCAAGAAAGCUUCAAGAAAGAAAAAGAAGGAUCUUGAUUCGUCAAAGUCUAAGAAGACACUGGAAAGGGAAGUAGAAGCUGAUCAGGCUGAUGUUUACCUUAUUUCUUCUGGGGAUGAGGACUCUUCGAAAGGAAUGAAAAGUAUGAAUUACUGAAUUCAAACUACUCGUUGGUAUAUAUUUUCAUAUUCUAAAGCCAACAAACCUAUUCAUAAGUGAAUACCUAUGGAUGAUAAGCUUCAAAUUAUUUGAUUUUACAAAAUUCAACAUAUGUGAUAUUAAUUUCCCUUUUUUAUACUGUACUCCUCUUAUUGAGAAUUUCUGAAUCCUCAGAAUGGAUUAUGGAAUACCAUCAAAGUAGACCUGGGUUGAAGGUACUGCAGCAAAGAAUUGAUCAGUUUAUGGUUGAACAUGAUGAAAAACUGGAACAGGUAAUUUUCCUCUUCCAUGCUACAAAUACCAUACAACUGGAGUAUUCAAACCAGCCGUUUGGACCUUCGCUCUUUAUAACACUGUUCAUACUGUCUUGAGUGACGUAUUUGCACAUGCUUGAAGGUCUAUAAAAAACGGUUUUGUGUAUGUUGAGCGAUCUAUAAACACAUAUGGUAUUAGCUGAUGGGCUUGCUCUAUUGUUUUUCCUUGUUUUGAAUUUUGGCCCGCAUACUUAUUUCUUCAUGGAAGUAUGCUACAUAUUCCUGCCUCUGAUCUCUCUUCACAUAUGCCCAUGUAAUGUGGGAAUGUAUAAUCUAUAUUUUAUUGGUAUUGUGUGGUUCGUGUAUGUCCAUCUGUUUAUAUUCACUGUGCGUAACUUUCCAGUUGAUCAAAUGUGUACUAGUUCACAUAUAUGCGUGGCACAUGCAGGAAAAGAAAGAGAAAGAAGCCCGUGCUGCAGACGGAGGAUGGACAGUUGUUGUACAUCAUAAAGGAAGGAAGAAGACCACGGAUUCUGAGAGUGGAAUUACAGUAGGAUCUGUUGCCCAGGCUGCUUUGGAGGACAAGGUGGCCAAGAAGAAGCGCACAGAAGUUGUUGGGCUAGAUUUUUACCGGUUCCAAAGGAAAGAAGCUCAGAGAAACGGUAUGUUAAUCUUACAUAUAAAGUUAAUCUUGUGUUAACCUGAAAAACCACACGACAUAGAUGAAAAUGUUGCAUAUGCUGAAAAGCACUCCCAUUAUGAGCAUGCAGUGGCAUAUUGCAUAUGCUUAUGUUGUCAGUUUCCGAUGAAUUUUAUUUUCAUAUGUUACACAUGAAAUAGUCUUGUUGUUUAAAGUUGUGCAAAUACAGCAAAGCGCUAAUAGGAUAUGUCCCUGCAGAAAUUAUGAUGCUCCAGAGCAAAUUUGAGCAAGCUAAAAAGCGGAUACAGCAGUUAAGAGCGGCUAGGAAGUUUCGACCUUACUGAACGCCUGAAAGUUUGUCCGAAGAAAAGCCAGGAAUCAAUUGUUCUUGUUCAUAAUGUUGAGACAUGAGUAGUACAAUGCAUGUUGCAUAACAGUAUUGCGCCCCGUAUUUAUUUUUCCGUUUGUUUCAUCAAACGUAAUUGAUAUCCAUGGCGAUUCUUUUUCUACCAGAGAAUGCACAUUCUUCAUACAUUAAGCUACGGAUUGUCGAAUGGCAACGAUAUAUUCGCUAUUUUUGGACAAAUUGGCCUCUGCUUCCUUUUCUGUCUUCCUUAAUGCCUUUUGGCUUUUUCCUUUUAGAUCAAAUUUGGCGUUCCGUGUAGGGGUGGGCAAACGGGCCUUGGGCCCGCGAGUAGGGGCGGGUACAGGGCGGGUCCUAAUUUUAAAAAAGAGAAACGGGGUGGGGCGGGGCGGGCCUGUGAAAUUUUAGGUUCGGACCGAUUCCAAAAGUAUAGAAAAACGAGUACCCAGACCGGCCCGUUUACAAAAAUAUCAUGUGUUAGGUACCAUUAUUGUCUCCCAGGCCCACUUCUUUUUUGUUCUUCCCCGUGGGCCGUGACAGUUCUCACUCGAGAACACUCCACACACACACCUCACCCACUUCCCCGUGUUUCCCCCUCUCCCAAUCUCUCAAACCUUCUCCCUCAUCCCUCUUCUUUGUUUCUUCUCCCCCCAUCUCUGCAACUCUCAUUCCCGGAGCACCCCACCGAUAAAUGAUAUGCUACCGCCGCCUCACAAAUUCUUCCCCUGACGAAUGAUGCAUGGAUUGGCUCUUCUGCCUCUAACUUCUCCACACACCCUCUAUUUCUUCAAGUAGAUGGACCGGGAGGUUAUGGAUCUGAGAUACAAGAGCUGGUUGAACGUGGUGAAGAUCUUGAUCUCCACACUCUUCAAUGGCGAGCAAAUCCUCUGCGACCACGUGUUCUCAUCCCCUGCCUCGAUCUGCGAGUCCUGCUUCACGGACAUUUCACGCGAGGCGGCGACUUUGCUCUUCGGCUUCUCGCAAGUUCUGGUUGGUGGUGAAGAGUAAGAAGAACUCUCUCGACAUCUUCCGCCUCCUCGACAUGUACACUACGAUCUUCGAGAACUAGCCGGAGAUCGAAUCCAUCUUCGGCUUUGAAUCCACGGCUGCCGUUCGUUCUCAGGCGCUCAACUUGCUCAUCAAACGCAACGAAUCAGUGCUAUCUGUGUUCUCCGAUUUCGAGUCCAUGGUCCAGAAAGACUCGUCGAAAUUCGACUAGGAAUCUGGGUUCUGGAUAUUGAAAAUUAGAAGAGAAAAAAAAAAAAAAAAACAGGGUACCCAUUGGACCCGUAGGAACCGGCCCGUUUUAUACGGGUCAGGUUAGGUCCGAUUCUCAGUUUGAAAAUAGUAAAACCCGCUCCGCCCCUGCCCGUUGUAUUUUCAAGCGGGUCCGGUCCGGUCCCUUCAAUUUUGGGCCGGCCCGGCCCGUGUCCACCCCUUGUUCCUUGGAUUUGUACAAAUCGAAUGCCCAAUGCCCAACAAAUUUCUACCCAAAACAAGAAGCUUAGAAGCGAGGAUGCUUCCUUGAGGAAGAGAUAAUUAGUCCUCACCCGUUUAUAUUCGUUUGUUUUUCAUGUUAUGUUUAUCUUCGUUUCGUGUUCAUGUUGUGUUUAUCUUCGUUUCAUGUUCAUGUCAACCCAAAGAUCGUACGUUUUUAAUAGUAGGUCUAAUAUUCAUGUCCCGAAGAUCGUCUGUUUUUGAGACCUAAGUCAUUUUCGAGACGUGAAUAAAUUAAAUUUACUGUCACCGUAGCGUCACAGAUUAUUAAUAUGACAUGAUUCACAUAUGAACAUGUGAUGAUGAUCCUUUGAUUCUUUUCUAAUUGGAAGAACAAGAGGUACUAAACCAAUACUUAAUAAAUAGCAUAAUCCGUAGUCAGAACACAGAAAUUAUGUAGAUAACAAUAACAUUCAUCUUAUAGAGAGAAAAAAAGGUAGAUCACCAAAGACUCCUGCAUCCAGGAAGUCUGAGAACGACGACGGAUCUCGGCUGCCACCCGAGAUCCGGUUUAUUGACAAUAUCAAAAACUAAAACAGCAGCGACACAGCAAGCUGCAUAUCAUAAUACUAAUACCCUACUAUAAUUGCAACAUAACCCCCUAGUCACAUUUGUUUUUUCUUUUAUUUAUUACUACUAAAAACACGAACAAUAGAACGCUAGAUCUCGGCCAGAUCUAUCUCUUCAACUUCCUCGUCCUUCUCGUCCUCGCUCCAGCAGCACUUCAGAAUCGACCUUGGAGACUGCGAACCAGAAUCAUCCUUGACAAAGCUGUGGUAGAUGAUUGCACCACCCAGGCCUAGACCCUCAUAGCUGCUUCCUCCGCAGCAGUAUCCCCUUAAGUCCAGAGGGCACUUAGCAUCAAGAUCUUCGCCUGCGGUGCUGGUGGUGUGCAAGGCUACAGAGAACUCAGCUGGUUUGAAGCAAUCCAGAACCCUGUAAAGCAGCAGGGUCAAGUUCACAUCAUUGAAAUUAUAUCCCACUGUUUCAAAGCUAGCGUAGCUGAAACCGUCUUCUGGUGUCACGUGGAUCGUAGAAACUGCAUUCCCUUCAAUUGAGUUCAUGGAGUAACCGCAAGGUUCGAACUCAAAGUCGCAUAUAUCAGAUUGUGGGAGGACCUUCCUGAUGCCAGAUUCUUCGGUCAUACCAGCAGCUGAACUUGCAUCGGAUUUGUAAAACACAGAAGCCCUCUUCCUGUCUAGACCGGUCAUGCACAUCUCCAGUGUGUAGGUCGGGCCUGUUUGGCGUGAACCCCACAAUAAGCUUGCCAGCUCCGCCGAUGCAGAGUAAAUAUGCCAUUUCUGAGUUUUGUCAGGGCUUCCCAUAACAUAUGCCUUGCUUGCCAAACCAAGCUUGCUAAAAUGGCCGUCAAGUACAGCUACUUCCUCGGAAAAGCUACGAUGAGGAGAGGGCUGAGCACCAGGAAAGAUAAAGCUCCCACGAGAGUACCUCACAGAUUUUACAGCUAGAGAGAGGGUAUCAGCCAACUUGAGGAUGGCAGGGAUUGAUCGAAGCAAUUUCGUUGUGCCACAGGUUUUGAUGAUCACUUUGUAAGGGUACACAAACAGGCUUGACUCGGAUAGGACGUAAGAGUCGAGAUCAUCAUUUGACAGUGAAGAAACAAUGGUGCACUCAGCUGGUGUCAGAAUCUCAUCUAUUUUGAGCUUUCGAUAGAGAACGAAGACCCAUGCCUUUAGGGUCAGCGAACAGUCCAGGCUCGAAGAAAGAGACCUCGAGCCUCUUUUCAUACCCUUCGAAUCCAAUUGCAGAGACCGGUACAGCCAUCUCGAUUUAAGUAAGAAAAUGAGGUGCAGCAGCAGAUGAAAUGACAAGCGAGGGAACGAGAGAGCGAGAGAAGUAGGGAAAAUAAAUAGACUAGAAUAACUAGAGUAAGAUUGCUGUAUUAAUGAUCGCACGGGGUUAUGUUGGGACUUAACACAAGUCAGGAUGGCUUUCGAACGCACUGCACAUAGAACAAUACAAUAUAAUUUUAGAAGGAAGUCCAUACAAAACAAUCGAGGAAUUACAAGCACCAUGAAACAAACAGUAAAACUUACGUUAGAGUAAGCAGCUGAUCUGAAUUUCUUGAUUCCACCGUGAGGCCUGACGUCUUCAAUGCUGUAACCGAGGGGAGCUUCGUAGAAUGAUGAUUUACUACUACUAGAAUCCUUUUUGCCACCUUUUUGACUCCAUUAGCUCAUUCAGUUAUUUUCCUGCAGAAAGGAUUAACCAAAAAGGGAUCAAAAUCACAAGUAAUAGCCAUACAAAUCCAGGUUAAAGGAGAAAUCUACGCAAAUUAAGUGAGAAUCCAACUGCUUAUACCAAUAAAGAACAAUUAGCAUAGACCAACUCUAAUAUACCAAAUCUGCUAGGAAAUUAAAUAAAAUCAUACAUCCAAGCACGAAACAGUGCUAUAAUUAUGUACACAAAACAAAUCAGUGUUUAAAAAAUUACAAUCAAACCAGCAUUGUAAUUUACCGAACAGGGAUAUGGGGUUUAUGCAAAGCCGAAAAAUUAUAGUAAGGCGGCAAGGAUCCCUCAGUGGCAGCAGGCCCUGUCUGAGGAAUUCCCAGUCUUGCGGAAGAUGGAGUAUGCAUAUGUGAUUAAAUAAACGACCAAAAAUACCGAUAAUACGCAUAGAAUCGUCUACUACAUUUGCCAUUGAACAUCGAAAGCGAAUAAUGCAUUCAAGUUCUAAACCAAAUCAUUACGUUUUCCAUGAGAAUAUAGAAUAAACAACCCCAAAUCAAUGAAAUUCAACAACAAAAAUAAAACUUUGACCCUAAUCAAUCAACGAACACAAUUUCUUCCUCAUAUAAUCACACCAAUAAUCAAAUCAAACAACGAAAUAAACAACCGAGAUUAAGGAAACAAACUUACAAUUAAUUUUUUUUUUCAAAUAAUCUAAACCAAAUCUACAAUCUCCUUCGAAAAUUCCCCUUCUUAAAUCUCAAUAUCAACACCUGAACGCCAACAGAAACCAAAAAAAAAAAAACAAUCAGAUAUACAUAAAAACGCAAAUUUGAAUCAGCAAAAUCCACAUAAUCGACAACCGAAGGCGAGUGAUGGAAACUAAUCGUACCUGAAGAUUUGAAAACCGGGACGAAGGAGGCGAAGAUCUUAAGGAAUCGGCGAAAUGCAAACCCUAAUUAUACCGCACAGAAAACCUAAAAAUGACUGAGGUCACGAAAAUUUUGGGAGCUGAAAAACCGGUGCUUCGUUGUUUUCGUGAAGGUUGAUGAAGCCCAAGGGAGCGUUGCGUUAUAUAGUCAGAGAGUGCCGUGUUUGCCACGGGAUUUCCCCUUAUUUACGGUCAUGCCACCCUGUCUAUCCGCUUCAUGUGGAUUUGCUCACAAAACUCGCAACCACCCGUGAUUUUAUCAUUCGGACGAUUCUGCCCUUCCUUGUUUGCGUGGAUAGGGAAGCCUGCGCUGUACAAGGCGGGCCAGGGUCGCAUAGGAGAGAUUUUUCAGUAUGAUCAUCAUAUGAGGUAGUACACCAUAUGUUUUUAUAUAAAUAGUAGAUUAUGUGUGCUAAAAGAUUAAUAAUUUAAAAAUUAAAUUUUUUUAUCAUUUAUAUAAAAACCCGUGAUUUAUCAUCCGUGUUCCGUAACUAAAAAUUUAUCGUGGUUAGUCUCGGAAUCAAUGUUUUGAAAAGACUGCGAUGCGAAAGCGAAACGACGGCGCGAAGAGGUUCGGGAAUUUUGAAGGCGGUGAUUGGCUGCGGACGAAUGCGAGUCGUCGCGACACGUGGUGAAAGGAUAAGAAGGCGUGGUUGUGAAUUGGCUCCACGUAGUGAGAGGGACCAGUGUGAUUGCUGUGGAGCUGGUUAUUUUUGUAGUUUUCUUUCUCGAUCAUUUCCGCGCUUUGUCUUGUAUGG
rnacentral:lncRNA from 1 species